ACAAAGCCCUGGGCUUUAUCCCCAGCGUUACAAAACGAACGGAAGAUAAAUCAAAAAGUAGCUGGAAAACAGCAUGUCCCCAAGAUGUAGAGUUGGGGAAGGAAGAAUAAAGGCUGACGUGUUUCUGAAUGCUAAGUACUCUCCAACCCCCUGCAUUAGGUUAUCUCUAAAGUGAAUAUUGCUUUUAUAGGAAAAACCGUGAAUGAAUGUAUUUAAAGGAUUCUCUAAAGCCGCCCAUGUAAAUGCAUUCGAAUCCUCAAAUCACAGUAAGCCUAUCAUCAAAUCACAGGUACACAUCAGCAAACAUCAAAAUCAAGCAAACAGAAAACAUAAAAGACAGACUGGCCAAGUUUUACAAAAUAGGUUUCCUAUCUGAAUAGCAAAACACGGCUCCGUUAGGCGAGACUCUCUUCUGGUCCCUGAGCUACUCAAACUGCUAUGGAAUCGGCCUGUCAUCCGUCGCGGUCUAUCUACUUGGAUUAGCUCCAUAAAGCGGUUACACAGUAGGUCUCCAGAAAUGUUUCAACGUCGUGCCAACCGGGCCACUUUCCCAGCGUACUUCCACUUCCUCCUCAUGAAGAGGGAGCAAUCCAAAUUAGUAAGAAGAAAUUGGCAAGUCGACACUACAUGAAUGGAAGGACCGGGUAAACCAGACAGGCGUCUUAAGCUUUGUCACUAUAAGUAAACAAUAUGCUAACAGCAUCCCAAACUGCAGAGCCACGUGGUGUAAAUAGGCGAGAAGGCUCCUCUCCUACCAUCUAGUACUCUAUUUCCUUCCCCCAUUAUCCACACUCCUUCACCUUAUAAAAACAUCUCAAGCAGGGACAGUCUGGGCAUCUCCCCACAUGAUGUGUGUAACUGCAUUCACAUGAAGUUAUACAUACGUGUACAUUAUUCUCAUAAUUUAUAUUUGCAUAUAAAGUAUUUACACCGUUAGCAUGCUUAGACCGCCCACUUUAAUAUUCUUAUGCUUUGUAUGCAUUUAGGAUAUAAUGAUCUUGUAGAACACCUUUUUUCCCCCUAUUACUUCUCGGUUCCUUUCCCUCCAAGUCCAAUCUCUAAUUCCUACCCAGGUUUAGCACAUAGCGAAAGGUGAACCAAGCUGAAGUACACUCUGGGCGCCAGCGGAUUGGUGCCCAUUUUAAAGUGCUCCUUGCCAAGCCUCGAGUAAAAUCCUAAAUGAAACAAGGCGGUGUUUAGAGCCUUCUAUUUACAAUUUAAAAAAUAAUAAAGGGAUAAAGAAAACGGAGGGUUUUCUUUCCUUGAUUUUGUUAACCUCCCCAACACAGUGGGAAAGGAUGUGUUGCAAAACUUUGGGCCACGGGCCACAAGAUAGGAAGACGUAAAAGAAACCGCAACCCGUGGGAUCACACCCCUCUCCAUUCGCGACGUGGAGUGGUGCACGGAGACCCACGGAUGCAACCAAACGGCCGGGACUACCAGGGCUCCUAGACUGCACCUUACUGCGGCAGGUAAUGGCGGCACAUUAUGAAGUAAGCCCUUGCUAGGUCCCUAGGAGGAACCCAGCGGAAUCACCUGUAAGUCAACACCAGAGGGCUUCAUCAAUCUAGUUGGCCACGAACAGCCAUCUUGUGAACCGAUGUGGCAGCUCGGGAGACCAGAGAUGCUGUAAGGAUGAGCUGGAAAUUUGUGUGACUCCCUGAGAGAAGAGUGCCUGGACAUGACCCCCGACCCCCUUGGCUGCUCUGCCUUCCUGCUUCGGCCUCACUUGCCUUCUUGAGCUCCCGUGGUCCAGCUGACUCCCAGACCACUGCCUGGCUGGUUCACAGGGCCACUAUGGCUUCUCCCAGUCAUCAUUGGAUGGUCCUUAGCAAAUGAGACCAAGUCUUCCUGAUACAUUGUAUCCUGCUGGGAGAUUGGCAGAAUCAAAGAUAUGAUUUGGAACCUCUGAACGUUACAGAAUUUCUUGAGAUUAGUAGGUGCCUCAGAACACACCCAGCCUUUCUUCUCUCCGUGGGACGGUUCAGGGUAUACCGUCAAGAUAGAUGCAUGAGAACGGUUCGCAAUCAAAUUCCUACCUGGUUCCCGCUGCAACAGCCACCUCUGUCCUUCGGAGCGUGUUGCUACCAGACUUGUUUAUCUACCAGACUCCUUUCAGUACAGAUGAGAGCUCCACUUCUAUCUGUAGUUAUCGUCCUUUCCCUGUGAAUGUCCCCCUGAACGACUGUUCUAAUUCUUAGUAGAGAAACUCGCUCGUCCUACAUAUGAACUACAGCUGCAAACAUUUUCAAAAGAGGUGAAGUCAUGCAGUUUUAUAAGACAUAGUCAAGUGUCAACACUUUGCUAGGACUCUUGGUAACCAAGGGUGACUCAGGAUUGACAUUCCGUUGUGCUAGAGGGGAACUGAGACCCUAAAACCUGUUGUCCCCCCC
rnacentral:sRNA from 1 species